rnacentral:rRNA from 1 species
ACUGCUCAGUAACACGUGGAUAACCUGCCCUAAGGAAGGGGAUAACCUCGGGAAACUGAGGAUAAUACCCUAUAGGUUACAGACGCUGGAAUGCCCUGUAACCGAAAGUUCCGGCGCCUUAGGAUGGAUCUGCUGCCGAUUAGGUUGUUGUUGGGGUAACGGCCCAACAAGCCGAUAAUCGGUACGGGUUGUGGGAGCAAGAGCCCGGAGUUGGAUUCUGAGACAUGAAUCCAGGCCCUACGGGGCGCAGCAGGCGCGAAAACUUUACAAUGCGGGAAACCGUGAUAAGGGAACCCCGAGUGCCUGUAUAUGCAGGCUGUCCAGGUGUCUAAAAAACACCUGAAGAAAGGGCCGGGCAAGACCGGUGCCAGCCGCCGCGGUAAUACCGGCGGCUCGAGUGGUGGCCACUUUUAUUGGGCUUAAAGCGUUCGUAGCUGGGUUGUUAAGUCUCUUGGGAAAUCUGACGGCUCAACCGUCAGGCGUCCAAGGGAUACUGGCAAUCUUGGAACCGGGAGAGGUGAGGGGUACUUCGGGGGUAGGAGUGAAAUCCUGUAAUCCUCGAGGGACCACCUGUGGCGAAGGCGCCUCACCAGAACGGCUUCGACAGUGAGGGACGAAAGCUGGGGGAGCAAACCGGAUUAGAUACCCGGGUAGUCCCAGCCGUAAACGAUGCGCGUUAGGUGUAUCGGUGACCACGAGUCACCGAGGUGCCGAAGGGAAACCGUGAAACGUGCCGCCUGGGAAGUACGGUCGCAAGGCUGAAACUUAAAGGAAUUGGCGGGGGAGCAC